rnacentral:rRNA from 1 species
UACGAAGGGGGCUAGCGUUGCUCGGAAUCACUGGGCGUAAAGCGCACGUAGGCGGAUUGCUAAGUCAGGGGUGAAAUCCUGGAGCUCAACUCCAGAACUGCCUUUGAUACUGGCGAUCUCGAGUCCGGGAGAGGUGAGUGGAACUGCGAGUGUAGAGGUGAAAUUCGUAGAUAUUCGCAAGAACACCAGUGGCGAAGGCGGCUUCUCUGGGACCGGUACUGACGCUGAGACGCGAAAGCGUGGGGAGCGAACAGG